rnacentral:misc_RNA from 1 species
GUGAUCACUAGGCGUUAACGGGAGGUGGUAUAUGACUAUAUCAUGGUUUGGCAAGAGCCUGUGUAAGUCUAUGCCUCCUGCCUCAUGGUUAGCAGUUAGAAGCCCCGUACCCGCAACAUGAAUUGAUGUGAACAAUUUUGCUGGAAAUGAACAAAGACAGCGAGUCAGCUCACUGUCACGUCCCACUUGCACAUGUGACGCUCAGUGCCAUGCGCCUCCACCAUGCAUUAACGAGAUGUACCGCUGCGUCGUUACACCGUGAAGGCUUGUCGAUUGACCUACAUAUGACAGGCGCCCUGCACUCGAGAGGUUUGACUUCAUUACGGAUACAAUAAGUGAAAGAAAAGGAUGGAAGAGUUUGACUUCCCCCCAGUGCCAUCAUCUCCACCCAGCAGUCUAAAUCUUCCACCUUCCGAUGAGCCUGACUUAGAGUGGUGUUUGCGAAGAACGCAUGAUGUUGCUUUAAUAUAUGCGGAGGACGACCAGGAGGAAGCUUUUAACAUAUUGACCGAAAUGACUGAGGAAACAAACCUUGAUGUCCGUCUGCAGACAGACGAGUGUUUUAGCGGAAGUCUUGUUGAGAAACCUGGGAGAAUUGCCUCACAAUGCUGGCUUGUGUUAGUAGUUCAAACACAUAAUACAACCAACGACAUGGUAGCAAAAUUCACUAAAGACGAACUAAUUGUGAAAAUUCGUAUCACAGAGGCCAAGGAUUAUAUUCGCCCCCUUUGCACUGAAAAAGGACUUCCUAACUUAUCAGGUCUGGCAUCUAUUGAAUCAUUACUUUGGGAUCCAUCAGCCAAAACGAGAACGAAGAGAAAGAUUGAGGACUUUAUUAUAUGGCAAAAGGAACAAGAUGUAACAUGGCGCAUCGAAAAUUUGAAACUUGAAGCUCCGGUGAAACUCUGUGACCCGAAUGACGGGAAAACCAAACGCCUCUUUUCCGAUUUACAGGUUUAUGACAUGAGUGGCGAUAAAAAAGGGCUCCUGUUCAUCAUUAACAACUACGAAUUUACAGAUUCAAAAAAAUAUCCCAGCAGAGAUAGCAGUUGUAAAGACGCAGAGUCUCUGAAAACAUUGUUUGAGAAGUUUGGAUUUAAAGUUGAAACGGAGAACAAUCUGACAGCUCAGGGCAUAAUGGACACAUUUGUGCAACAAGUCGAAGCAUUUGAACAGAGUGGCUAUCGCUGCUUCGCUACUGUCAUUUUAUCACAUGGCAUAAAAGGUGGCGUAGUCGGCACAGAUGGCGACUCUGUGUCUAUAGAAAAAAUCAAGAAUAUAUUUUUGGAUGAACACUUGAUACUUCACAAGGACAAACCGAAGCUGUUCUUUAUUCAAGCUUGUCAGGAAGGCAUGUCCGGCUUUGCACGCGGUGACUACUGGCAAACAAUCCAAAUUACACCCAGGAGCGCACUUUUACUGGACCUCAGCAACCGUGCCUGGUUACGGGGCACUGAGGGAUGAAGAAGAUGGAUCGUAUUUCAUUUCAAGUCUUGUGAAUGUAUUCACAAAGUAUGCCCAUCAAUACGAUUUGGACAACAUGAUGUCUAAAGUUGCAUUCGACGUUGAGCGCCUGACAUCAAGGGAUCACAGUCCUCAGAUCAUCGAGAGAAAAUCAACCUUACUAAAGCAGCUGUUCUUCUUUCCAGGGAUUUAGGGACAUAUCUGAAAUCAAGAAAUGUAGGUAAUUGAACAUUAGGACAUAAAGCUUUACUUUUCAUGAAUUUAACCACACAUAUUAAGAUUGUCAUUUGAUACAGGCGAUCUUUUAUUUAAGAUAAGCCCAUAAUCAGCAAUAAUAGCGAAAAAAGGGAAAUGUGUUGAAAGCAGAAAAAUCAUCAAUUUCAUAUAUUGACUUCAAAUCAAUUGUGACUAUAUGGGGAUCGGGAGCCCGGUCUUCUGGGUGACGAGGUAAAGCUUUAACCAAUCUGUUCUACUAGGAAGUGUCUUGUCAUUUGAUAUCACAUAUGUCAACAAGCGUUGACAACAGAAGCAAGCUCUCAGGGUUGCCAACGUAGUUUAAAUGCUUCAUUCUUUGAGAGUUGCGGUAUUUGAUAUCCAAUUCGACUUUUCGACAAUUGGGUCAAAUGGGACCAACCAUUUGAUAUUCUGGAGGAGGCCUAGGAUUGUGUGUGGAGAGAAGAUAUUGUUUCAGGAACAGCUGCAAAAAUAGGUAUUUUUUAACUGAGAGGCUAAAUUAAUUUUGGAAAAAGAACCACAUGGAAAAAAAUAUUUUCUGUGACUGACUGUAUUAUUUUAAACAUUCCAAAGCACACCUAUUUAUUUCAAGCCUUUUCUGAGACAAUAUUUAAAACAUGCAGGAAACACAACUAUCAAAUGGUCGGUCUCUUAGUGUAUUAUUGUCCAUUAUCAUUCCGAGUACAUACUUUUGAAAUCAAUUAUUAUAUUUCAAGAGUUCAUCAGUUGACGCAUACUGUCAUUUCUUAGUGAAGCGUCGAGUUUUUCAAGCGUAAAAUAGACGGAAAUUUCGUAUUUCUGGCGUGCCUUGCUAUAGUAUCCGUCGUGCGCAGUGCAGCGAGAUUUGCUGAUAGGUCAGUUUUAGGAUAUGUAACAUGUUAAUGGAAUUCAGACACGCGCCAAGAAGUCAAAUCAAACAAUGUUAGCAAGCUUAUUGAGACAGCAUAUCCCUCCGCUAUGCACAGUUACCUCUAUGAGAUAAUGGGUAGUGUUUUAUUUUGUAACAGUAACUAACUUUUCAAUGUGCAAUUUGCAAGAUAUCCGUUUUUUUCCAUAGGACGAGAGGUCGGUCACAUGACGUUUUUCACGUGACUGUAUUCUUGAACUUAGCGUCUUAGCAUUCUCUGGGAUAAGUCAGAAAGUUUGAUUUGCAUGCCCGUUCAAGGAUACACUUGUUACAACUCAUCCCU